rnacentral:misc_RNA from 1 species
UCCGGUUUGUCACCGGCAGUCUCCCAUGAGUCCCCGGCCGGCAUAUAGCCGCCGCUGGCAACAUAGGACGGGGGUUGCGCUCGUUGCGGGACUUAACCCAACAUCUCACGACACGAGCUGACGACAGCCAUGCAGCAUCUGUGGUGCACCCUCGAAGGUCACACGUUUCCGUGCGCUUGCAGCACCAUGUCAAGUCCAGGUAAGGUUCUUCGCGUUGCAUCGAAUUAAAGAACAUGCUCCGCUGCUUGUGCGGGCCCCCGUCAAUUCUUUUGAGUUUUAGCCUUGCGGCCGUACUCCCCAGGCGGAACACUUAUCGCGUUGGCUGCGGCACAGACAGAUUCGACUCCGCCCACACCUAGUGUUCAUCGUUUACAGCGUGGACUAC